AGAACAAUGAGUUCCAGACCUAUCGACGGCAGAGUAGAGCCGAGGGUGUUGGGGGCGGCAUCCAUCAGAGAAAUCCAAGAGUCUAGUGCAGGAGAUGUGUGGCAUGUGGGAGGAAGCAAGCAGGACGUAAGAGUGGACUUCCUUUUUCAGGCAGGAAUGAGGGAGACAAGAAACAUACUGAGAAAGAUUUCUUACUAAUCGAGCAGGAGUGAGACAUUAAGAGACGCACAUAAGGCCUCCAACUCUACCAGGAAUGUGGGAGAUCAGGUAUUAAAUAAAGAUUCAAAUUUGAUAUUUUUACUGAA